AAGUCGUAACAAGGUUUCCGUAGGUGAACCUGCGGAAGGAUCAUUAAUGAAUUUACUUGAGAGUUGAUGCUGGCUUUGCUGCAUGUGCUCGCUCUCAUAAUUCUAUCCUUACACACCUGUGCACAUGUGAAGAAGGUUUGUGGUUCGAGCGGAAGGCGUUGUUCGCUUUCCUUCGUUCCUAUCUCCUCCUUCCUUUCUACAAACUCCAAAUUAACUACGAACGUGAUCGCCUGAACAAGGCAUAAACUUAUACAACUUUUAACAACGGAUCUCUUGGCUCUC
rnacentral:misc_RNA from 1 species